rnacentral:rRNA from 1 species
UACGGAGGAUCCGAGCGUUAUCCGGAUUUAUUGGGUUUAAAGGGUGCGUAGGUGGCCUGUUAAGUCAGGGGUGAAAGACGGUAGCUCAACUAUCGCAGUGCCCUUGAUACUGAUGGGCUUGAAUGAACUAGAGGUAGGCGGAAUGUGACAAGUAGCGGUGAAAUGCAUAGAUAUGUCACAGAACACCAAUUGUGAAGGCAGCUUACUAUGGUUUUAUUGACACUGAGGCACGAAAGCGUGGGGAUCAAACAGG